AAUAUUUACAUUUUUUACAGAUAGCAGUGAAGGUUUUCCAUACAAAUUUGAUUGUUGCCACUGAGAAAAGGAGAAGUAAACACGGGCAAGUUAAAGCUUUAAAUCCAUAGUCCAGCAAGUUCUCAUAAUAUAUGUGAUAUCUUUUAAAUUUAUGGAAUUGGUUUUGCCUUUCCAAGUACACUGCGUAUUUCUUAACAUUUUUAACAAAGUAAUUCGGAUUCUAAAAUCUAGCGUCUUGGAUCAUUAAAACUUUAGCUUAGGAACUGCAUUUGCUGACUGCUGCUGCUGCUUCUUUAUUCUUCUACUUUGCUUCUUCUUGUUAUUGGCAUUGUUGUUGGGAGCAGAGCGGUGUUUGCCACUUGGCAGGCGACUGAAAAACUUUUCAUUUUACAACAACUGCUGCAACCGAAUGCGAACUGUGAACCCAAACCGGAAGUGAAGGCGGACAGAGGCGUAGUGCGGUGUGGUGUCGGGAGUAGGCAAGUGUAAAAGAAAUAAACGGACUUAAAAUAGGAAAAGUCAACAUGAGCUCACAAGGCGAAAAGGCGGCGCAAUGUCCUGACAUACUACAACAGGAGGACAACGCGCACACUGGCUAGGGGCUAAGUGCAAACACAAAGAUGAGAUUUCUUCCAUCCACAUCCUCAGCUCCCUCAACUAAUACUUGUUUUAAGGGGGUGGGGGUGUGGGGAGGUCACAAAAGCGUAACGGCGCUCAAAAUGACUGACACGGCUUGCUGGUCACAUGGUCAAGAGCGCGCAGCGAGCCGUGGCUAGAAAGUACACACACCAGCUCCAGCACACACACACACACACACAUACUGAGAGACAAUACGAAAUGAAAUUCCAUCGCUGUUCCCCCCAGUAGAACAUUUUGUAUCUGGGCUUAGUUGUUUUAAACUUUAUUGUUUACGCUUGUGAUCAGCAGUGCUGCCGACGUCAACGUCGCCAUUUUGUUGACUGCCGCCAUUGAUGCUGCCUGCCUGCCGUUUGCUGCUUCUUCUUCUUUAUCUCCUACAGCUACUUCGUGCUCUGCUUCUUGUUCAGCUCGCACUUUGGACCAUUGUGUGGCUCUAAAACAUAAACGGAAGCGAUUUAUGGCGCAAACACAAUGAACGAGUCAGCAGCAGCAACAACAAUAACAAACAACACAACAAACAGCAGCAAACAACACACAAGAAAAUGACGCACAACAAAGGACACGGAUACGGUCAGCGCAACAAUUUGUGUAGUGUUGACCAGCAUCACUCUUCAGGCUCCUACAGCUACACAUCCCUAGUACUCCUCGCUGUCCUGGCAGCUCAUAAAAAAUACAAACAAACGGACGUCAACUCAGAUUUAAUGCGGGGUUUGGGCAGUUGGGAAGUUACGAAACAUGCUCCAAAUUCCGCCAAAAACUAGCUGAACAGCAUUUUGCCGCGUUUUCAAAAUGGAAAUCAUUAUAUUUAUUGAUUAACUUAAAUACAUUUGUCAGUUAUGCUGUUUCUUUUUAAUAAAUGAAAAUAAACUCCGCAGUAUCUGCACAAAAAUUCAA